rnacentral:rRNA from 1 species
ACAAUGGGCGCAAGCCUGAUGGAGCAACACCGCGUGAGUGAAGAAGGGUUUCGGCUCGUAAAGCUCUGUUGUUAAAGAAGAACACGUAUGAGAGUAACUGUUCAUACGUUGACGGUAUUUAACCAGAAAGUCACGGCUAACUACGUGCCAGCAGCCGCGGUAAUACGUAGGUGGCAAGCGUUAUCCGGAUUUAUUGGGCGUAAAGAGAGUGCAGGCGGUUUUCUAAGUCUGAUGUGAAAGCCUUCGGCUUAACCGGAGAAGUGCAUCGGAAACUGGAUAACUUGAGUGCAGAAGAGGGUAGUGGAACUCCAUGUGUAGCGGUGAAAUGCGUAGAUAUAUGGAAGAACACCAGUGGCGAAGGCGGCUACCUGGUCUGCAACUGACGCUGAGACUCGAAAGCAUGGGUAGCGAACAGGAUUAGAUACCCUGGUAG